CUCCUUGUAACGCAAUGAAUAGCGCGUUGGACUUCCAGUCCAAAGAUCGUGGGUUCAAAUCCCACCUAGGAUG